UGUAGUGGGGAUUCAAGAUGGUCACACUGGCAGUUGAAAAUAGUAGAAAAUCACAGUAAAUAUUUCAUGUGUUGCGUUCUGUAUGUUGGCAGCGUGCAGGUGCUUCACUGUUAACACAGUUGUCCAGAUUUAUGUUUUCCAGGCCACAGAACGCACAGACAAGAAUAUGGGACUUGCACAGCGUAAAUAGUCUCGGGCGUGUCGUGAGGAGGACCGACAGCAUUCCGGGCCCCUGUCACUCCUACAUAUGGACACCAACUGCAAGUUGAUGAGGUUCUGAUCCUCCAAAUGGCCAGAAGCAAGGCUGCUGUGGCUCUGGAGUUCUUCCUUGAUGCUUCAAAGGACCAAAACACUAUCUCCCACACAGAGUACCCUUUUUUUUAACAUGGUGCUGAAGUUUUGGGUCAAGAUGGAGUACAGCGAGAAACUCAGACCUGAUGGUCUGAGUGUAACGUUAGAGUUUUGUUAACGCUACACGCUAACAUUAAAUUCUCACUAACGCUAGAUAAAGUAACCUACAUGAACUCGAAAUUAUAUAUUUACUCAACUGCUUUACCUCAGAAUAACAGCUAAGCAUCUGCAUAUACACAGAACACUACACAUUAAAAUUUAAUUGCAAAGAUCUACAGUAGGUCAACCUCCUCAUCAGUGAACCGUGGGCGUCCACGACCCUGCCACCCCUUUACUAUCUGUCCUUCCUUAGGUGCUGUUAGCUUGCUGCCUUAUAUACUCCACCCACUGACAGGUGGAUGUAACGAGCUCAUCAGUGUGAUUCACUUCACCUGUCAGUGGUAACAAUGUUAUGUCUGAUCGGUGUCAAUAGUCAGAAUUCCUACUGGUAACGUGAGUUGUACUGCACUUUGCUGCAUUCUGUCUGUAUUAUUUUCCUACCAACAUACAUA